CAGCAGCCGCGGUAAUACGAAGGGGGCUAGCGUUGCUCGGAAUGACUGGGCGUAAAGGGCGCGUAGGCGGCGAUCAAAGUCAGGCGUGAAAUUCCUGGGCUCAACCUGGGGGCUGCGCUUGAUACUUGGUUGCUUGAGUGGGGAAGAGGGUCGUGGAAUUCCCAGUGUAGAGGUGAAAUUCGUAGAUAUUGGGAAGAACACCGGUGGCGAAGGCGGCGACCUGGUCCUUGACUGACGCUGAGGCGCGAAAGCGUGGGGAGCAAACAGGAUUAGAUACCCGCGUAGUCCCUGUCUCUUAUAC
rnacentral:rRNA from 1 species